rnacentral:rRNA from 1 species
UGGGGAAUAUUGGACAAUGGGCGCAAGCCUGAUCCAGCCAUACCGCGUGGGUGAAGAAGGCCUUCGGGUUGUAAAGCCCUUUUGUUGGGAAAGAAAUCCUGUCGAUUAAUACUCGGUGGGGAUGACGGUACCCAAAGAAUAAGCACCGGCUAACUUCGUGCCAGCAGCCGCGGUAAUACGAAGGGUGCAAGCGUUACUCGGAAUUACUGGGCGUAAAGCGUGCGUAGGUGGUGGUUUAAG